AAACCAACCGGGAUUGCCUUAGUAACGGCGAGUGAAGCGGCAAAAGCUCAAAUUUGAAAUCUGGUACCUUCGGUGCCCGAGUUGUAAUUUGGAGAGGGCAACUUUGGGGCCGUUCCUUGUCUAUGUUCCUUGGAACAGGACGUCAUAGAGGGUGAGAAUCCCGUGUGGCGAGGAGUGCGGUUCUUUGUAAAGUGCCUUCGAAGAGUCGAGUUGUUUGGGAAUGCAGCUCUAAGUGGGUGGUAAAUUCCAUCUAAAGCUAAAUAUUGGCGAGAGACCGAUAGCGAACAGGUACAGUGAUGGAAAGAUGAAAAGAACUUUGAAAAGAGAGUGAAAAAGUACGUGAAAUUGUUGAAAGGGAAGGGCAUUUGAUCAGACAUGGUGUUUUGUGCCCUCUGCUCCUUGUGGGUAGGGGAAUCUCGCAUUUCACUGGGCCAGCAUCAGUUUUGGUGGCAGGAUAAAUCCAUAGGAAUGUAGCUUGCCUCGGUAAGUAUUAUAGCCUGUGGGAAUACUGCCAGCUGGGACUGAGGACUGCGACGUAAGUCAAGGAUGCUGGCAUAAUGGUUAUAUGCCGC
rnacentral:rRNA from 1 species